GACAAAUUGAAACGCACUACCUUAAAGGAUUUACUCAAAAGCCGAGGUGGGAACGCGAGUAACCGGCCGAGGAGGGAGCUGAUCGCAGAGCUGACUGAACUGGAUCAGAGUUUCACUAUGGCAGAAGCCCUAACAAUGACGGGUGACGAAAAGACCAGGAUUGUUCAGGAGAGGCUUAAUGGGCCGAAACCCUCUAAAGAACUAGUACAGCAGCUGAUGGCAGAGGCAGAUGAGGACAUACAGAAAGCUAGAGCCCACGAGCUCAG